GACGAACGCUGGCGGCGUGCUUAACACAUGCAAGUCGAACGAAGUGGCGAACGGGUGAGUAACGCGUAAUCAACCUGCCCUUCAGAGGGGGACAACAGUUGAAAACGACUGCUAAUACAGCAUACUGAAGGUGGGGAUUGCGUCUGAUUUUCUAGUUGGCGGGGUAACGGCCCACAAAGGCGAUGAUCAGUAGCCGGUCUUGGAGGAUGAACGGCCAAAAUUGGACUGAGACAAGGCCCAGACUCCUACGGGAGGCAGCAGGGGGGAAUCGUCCGAAAUGGACGAAAGUCUGACGGAGCAACGCCGCGUGAGUGAUGACGGCCUGCGGGUUGUAAAGCUCUUUUAAUCGGGACGCGGUACCGGAAUAGAAAGCCACGGCUAACUACGUGCCAGCAGCCGCGGUAAUAC
rnacentral:rRNA from 1 species